GUCCUGUUUACCCUGCUGCACUUAAGGUUUCCAGGCCUCAAUCCUGAGCUUGGGUUGAAGUGUGGCAGAGGCCACGACACCUGCGCCCCUGGGAAGGCUCAGCUGUGUGUGCUGCGUCCCGUGACUCAUCAGCAGGGAGCGCCACGCUGGGCCACACGGAGCCUCUGAAGGAGCCGUCUCAUCUCUGCCCAGCGAGCUGAAAUCAGGCGCCCGCACGGGGCGGGGCGGUGCUUCCUAGAAGUUCUUCAAAGUGUCCCCACCCUCUGGCCUCACGAUCCACGGUAAGCACUGCCCAGAGAAAUCACCGUAACUCGAAGCAGUUCCCGGCAGUGUGCUCAUAAUGGUGAGAAAUUCGAAAUAACUAAGGUGGCCAGCACCAGGAGAGGGUGGCAGACUGCUCUCCGGCCAUGGCAUGGGGAAUCGCAUACAGAACGACACCUGCUGUUUGCCCUGAACUCGUUGCGGUGGGGGACGUGCUUCUGAUGGGAGGCCAGGGAGCAGAUGCGGGAUCACGGCAGCGGCUAUGGUACUCUCCAGGAACUUGGACUCUGCAGUCCGAAUCCUUCCUCUCUGCCUGUAUCUCAGUAUGUGUGAGCCCGGCUUUGUCAAGCUCUUGAAGCUUCCGUUGCACAUCUAGAGAGCGAAGUGACAUCGCCUCCCUCCAAAAGCUAGAACAGGUAAACAAAUGGUUUGGGGGAAGCCCGGGGGUGCUUAGGACCCAGGAAAGGUGACAGCAACACCAACUAUCAAGUCCAUGUGUGUGAAGGGCAGGGACGAAAGCACCCAGUGGUUGUCACUGGGGCAGACUGUUUCUCGUCAUUGGACUUCACUGCUUUAUCUCCGUUUUCUCUGGAGACCCUACUUUACUUUCAAGUGGAGCCAAAUCGCUUUAUUCUCAUUUAAUAUAUAUUUCCAGCAGAGGCAUCCUAGGCUCAGCCCGAUGUCCUGGCUCACCUCGGGUCCCCAUGGGGUCCAGUGAGGGGACGUGAGUGACCCGGCGACGCCCACCUGCACCCCACUAUGACCCACAGUGCUGGCAGGAGUCAGCACCCCCUCCCAUGGAGGUCCCAGGAAGGAAGUGAGUAAUGCGCCUGGGCACCGAGCUCAGGGUUGAGGCCAGAUGCAGUACUUUUGUUGUUUUCUCAUCUCAAGUGUGGGGGGUGGAGGCAAACCUCCCGAUGGGUGCCUGCUUGCCGCUCACCUGGGAUGACUAACUGGGCUGAAGCACCUCCAGGCUUCUGGCCAUCCCAGGUGGGUGGCAAGAGCUGCCAGGGCCGGACCCUUGAUUGAUGGGGCAACGGUUCCUGCUGGUUAACCCUGCUUCUACCCAGGCCAGCUAGCUCCACUGAAGACACAAAUCCCUUCCCAUGAGCACAUCUGCAGCAGAGGGAACUACGUCCUGGCAAAAUUACAAAGUUGUCACAGGCCUGCAUUGAGCCUGCCUCUGCGGCAUUAACUGUGUGGCCUUGGGCAAAUUGCUUAACUUUGCUGUGCUUUCUUUCCCCUUCUAUAACAUGGGGACCCAACAAGGUUUUUGAGAGAGCUGGAUGACACAGUGUACAUAAAGGCAGCACCCACACAUAGUAGGAACUCAACAUCAUUCUCUCCUCUUCUCUGCUCUCCAUGGUAAAGCCUUUUUUUCUCCCUUUGGUGACAAGCCCUGGUCCCAGGGUGGCUGCUCUAGGACCCAAGGUUCCUCCUCUUCAUGAGAUCAUCCCCCACUUGGGACCCCGUCCUCAGAUACUAGGUGCCGGUGUGUCCUCCGUGGCUGUGCCCUGCCAUCAGAGGCAGACAGUGGAUUGCAUUACACCAGGGGGCUUGCCCACAUGCUACAGGAGCCACAGCAGCAUGAGUAAUGGUAGGAAUUCAGGGUGUGUAGCAAACAAGGGGGUCUGCCAAGGGGACCCCAGGCCCUCCCUGAGCUCACUGCACAUUGGCAGCUGCCUCUCCUGCCUCAGCCACCAGACCCAGGAGGGCCAGGAAAGCUCAAGGACCCCUGGUCAGCAUGAGGGACUGUGGCAGAGGUCACAGAGAAGAAGAAGCACACUUCGGGUCAAGCCAACUUGCACUGAACCCUGCUCUGCCACCUAUAGACUGCGUGUCCUUGGACCACAGCCCCAGCUUGCGAGUCCCCUCAUCUGCAGAGAGGAUGGACCAUUGCAACCAUAUGUUUGUUGUGAAAUAAGGAGCCUUGGAGGUGGCAGUCAAGGAAUAGCGCGAUUAGGGCACAAAGGUGGUUGAAGGUCAACCAUUUGUCUGAAAUCCCCUUAGGGUGACAUAAGGGGCUGCUAAAAUCUGCCUACCGUGCUCGUGGAACUUCAUCGAUCUCUCACUGUAGUUCAGCCUCCCAAGAAAGGAGCUGCCAUUACACUCAUUCUAUGUAGGCACAGGUCCUGGCGCUAGAAGGCAGGGUUGGGACCUGACCCCGGUUGGCCGACUCCUGAGCCAGGGACCCCCUCCCCCCGCCGCCCACCCCAUCACCACUGACUCCUACCUCAGCCUUCCCCAGCUGCGGUGUUGUAUGACUUUCCGAUGGGGCAGAGACACGUUCUCCCCAGGGCUCCCUGAGGGUUCAUUUUGGCAUCCCCGGGCAAACAUCCUGAGGAGCUCUGGAAGGUCAGGGAACCCAGGCGAAGGGAAAGGUGCAGGAAAGUAUAGUGUGGGGCCCAGCCCCACCCUCAGAACACUUCGGUCGUUCCUUCAUUCUACCUCCCCACUAGGGUGUCAACUGGAGACGUGGGAGACAGAAAGUGCUACUUAGCAGGCAUGGCCCAGGCCCGGGCAAGGGACAUCCAGGGAAAGUGAGGAGACUAGACUCAACAGCAGAGAAUUCAGGAGUGGGGUUCAGGCGUGGGAAUGUAGGCUCAGGCCAGAUGUUUUGUUUAGAGACAAGGAGAGAGAACAUGAGCAGAGAGAGAGGCAGAAGGAGAAGCACUGAGCUUCUCCCACUGAGCCAGGACCCUGAGAUCAGGAUCUGAGCCAAAGGCAGACGCUUAACCGACUGAGCCACCCAGGCACCCCGGCUCAGUCCAGGUUAAAGAAAGGGAAGGCUUUACCUAUAGGUCUGUCCGGCUCCUUCUCCCUUGCCCCCACCAGCCCUCAGCGGCCCUGCCCAGUGCUGCUUGUCCCUUGGGGGCAGGAGUGGGCUUGUGGGACUUCUCAGUAUCCCCUCUUGGUCUCUUGGGCACCAGUCAGCAUUUCACCCGUUCCCUGGCAGGGCAGGCUGCAUGAUAAGAAAUCCAGGAAGUUCAACAACCAUGGAAGGCUCGGACAUCUCUGUGGUUCAUGCCAGAACAAACACGGCCUGGUGCAGGGCCGCAAGGUCCCAUCCCAGGGCAAACACUGCCCUUUGCCAAAUAGGGAAUUGUUUUUGCAAAGGCAGUGUGUGUGCCCGGUGGGCGGGAGAAGGGCAGUUCUAUCAGGUCCCCUGACCACUCACCCUCUCGCGCUCUGACAUCAUUUCCUACGAACCCCGCACGGAGGGGGGCCGCGCGGGGAACCAAUGGACAGGAGACUCUUCCAGCCAUUAAUGGAAGACACAAACGGUAUUACCAAAGAAAAUUAAAAAGAAUGAGUAAUCUUCCUGCGGUCUCUCAGCGAAAAAACAUCAUCUCACCUGAUCUUAAAGGGGCCUGCCUGCGAGGUUGGCAGGGAGGGCAGAAAUGAGCUGGUCUGACUGGCGCUUGAGGAACGUGCGAGGCGGCGUGUAAGCAGGCCUGGCUGGAUUGAAGGCUGGCCCCACCGUGCACCGCAGGCAGGUCCUCUGCGAGCCUCUGUCUCUGCGUUUAUGAUGUGAAGGUUACAGCCCCUACCCACAUGGGGCCCUGGAGUUCACGGAGACAAGAGCCUCAAAAGCCCUGAGCUGUGCACCCAGCCCUUAGGAGAUUCUCAAUAAAGCAGGCUCCGGUCUAGGGCGGCACAGCGGCACCCCACAGAAGGGCCAAGCACACAAAAGGUUACCUUCACGUGCUACUGUAAGUGUGCAAGAAAACGCAUUGCCUCUGACUACACACUCCCGCCAUGCAAUGUCCACACGCAUGUGAGCGGCUCGUGUGUGAAGGCCCUGGCUUCAGCUGGUGCGUCAUCCAUCACGGGCAGCUGCUUUGUAAACUGCAAUAAAGUAAUUUAAUGCCAGUGAUGAAAUCUA